rnacentral:rRNA from 1 species
CGGGGCUUGUACACACCGCCCGUCACACCACGAAAGUCGGCAAUACCCGAAGCCGGUGAGCUAACCCCUCGGGAGGCAGCCGUCGAAGGUAGGGUUGAUGAUUGGGUG